GAUGAACGCUGGCGGCGUGCUUAACACAUGCAAGUCGAACGAUGAAGCCCAGCUUGCUGGGAGGAUUAGUGGCGAACGGGUGAGUAACACGUGAGUAACCUGCCCUUAACUCUGGGAUAAGCCUGGGAAACUGGGUCUAAUACCGGAUAGGAGCGCCUACCGCAUGGUGGGUGUUGGAAAGAUUUAUCGGUUUUGGAUGGACUCGCGGCCUAUCAGCUUGUUGGUGAGGUAAUGGCUCACCAAGGCGACGACGGGUAGCCGGCCUGAGAGGGUGACCGGCCACACUGGGACUGAGACACGGCCCAGACUCCUACGGGAGGCAGCAGUGGGGAAUAUUGCACAAUGGGCGCAAGCCUGAUGCAGCGACGCCGCGUGAGGGAUGACGGCCUUCGGGUUGUAAACCUCUUUUGCCGGGGACGAUAAUGACGGUACCCGGAGAAUAAGUCCCGGCUAACUUCGUGCCAGCCGCCGCUGUAACAC
rnacentral:rRNA from 1 species